rnacentral:lncRNA from 10 species
CAGCACUGCCUGUGCUCCGUGCCAGCCCUUCAGGAAUCUACCUAGAGUCCCCUCUCCAGCAGGGUGGAGUCUAUUAUGGGUCGAUUAGCUGCUCCUUUUCAGCGCAGAUUUAACACUGUCCAAAAGCCAGCUCCUGUGUAAGGAAGUCAAGAUUUUCUCAAGGGAAAAAUCACCCUAGAAACCAUCAACUCAUGACAAACGUGAUCUCCAACGUUCAUUGUGGAAAAUAGCCUCAAGGAUGAGAUGAUGAGGAUUUUGAAGAUGGGCCUAGUACGUUCCGCAAGGCUGGCCUGGUCUUGUCCCUUCUGUGGUCCUCUGGGUGUCCAGCUGAGGACCUGACCUGCCCUGGAGCACAGUGGGCAUUUCCUAAAUCAAAUGGACAAAUGGAUUGACUUGUCUCUUGCUAAGAGCGCCUACCUUCGGGGUGUGGAGGUAGAGACAGGAGAGAAGCUCAGGAUGCUGCUCAGAACAACCCAUGGCUCAGACUUCCCACCUGCAAGAUGAGCAGACGGGCAGAAGGGUCCUCUCCUUGUCUGCCACCCGCAUGGCGUGCUGUGAGGAGCCUGUGAGAACCUGCCCAUCACCAUGAGAAGUGCAACACCAACCUCAGGUGGAAGGUCUUAAGAGAAAACACUGAGGUCCCUCGAAGAUGAAGAAAUCCUCAUGAAGAUGAAUCCAAAGGUGGAUUCAAUUUCAGCUGUCUUUGGACUGAAGACUGCAACAUCAACACUUCCCAGGGUCUCCAGCCUGCCCGCCUCUCCCGCAAAUUUCAGAUUUGCAAGUAUCCACAGUCAUGAGCAAUUCCUUAAAGUAAAUAUUUCUCUGUUUCUUUCUGGAUAUGUAUAGGUUGUUUCUCUGGAGAAUCCUGAUUAAUACAUGAAGGGUCAAGAUAAGUCUACUCCAGGGUCUGAGUCCCAGCGGAAGACUGAGGCCGACUGAGCCAGAGGCACCACUUCAAUAGGUCACUGGUCUCUGCAGGGAAAGGAAAAGGUGUAAGAGUUCUCCCUGCAUAGAUGCUAUUUGUGACUUGGAUGUUUUCUUUCUAAUACAAAUGCAUCAAAGUGUUCACAGGAAUCUAGCUAUAUGCAAGAAGUCUGGAUUAUCUGCCUGAGAGAACUGGCCAGUAUCUCACCCAUGAGCACCAGAACCCAUUUCUAGAUUACUAAGAAAGGAGCACAAGAACACUGUGUAUAAGGCUCUGUGUUCCUAGAACUUUCUAAAUUUUACUUAAUGCAGGUUAACUUCAUCAACCCUGGUGAAAAUGCCACCUCCUCAUGAGGAAGCCUUCCCCAUUUGCUCUGUCUCAGAGACACUUGACUCCAUGGACUUCUCUGCAAUUCUGUUCUGUGUAGGACUGCCUAGUGCCUAGCCUUCUUGUGAUGUUCCUUGCUUAUGUCUUGUCUCCCCAUUUGAUUUGGAGGGUCCUGGGCAGGGACCACUGGGCUGGGCUCUAGUAGGCCCCCUGUAAAGACCUGUUGAGUAAUUAGAAGAGACAGUGGCCCCAUCUGGGUGAAUCCUGAAUUUAAUCAAUUUCCUGGAUCCUUGUUUAUUUUGCAAGUAGGAUAAGAAUGUCAUUGAAAUCCUAUCAUGUAGUCAUGGAAGGGCUAAUACAGUCAGUGUACUGCUACUCACUAAGCAUGCUGUUUAGCUCAGCGGUUUUUUGUUUUGUUUUGAUAACAAGACUGUCUCGAUGAAAGAAGCAGGGCGUUGUUUAAUAUUCUAAUGCAGGCUCCUUAUUUCACGACAUACUGGUAGUUACACUUGGAGUCGCAGUGAAAUAAAACAUCUAGGCCAGCGCCGUGGCUCACGUCUGUAAUCCCAGCACUUUCGGAGGCUGAGGCAGGUGGAUCACUUGAGGUCAGGAGUUUGAACCAGUUUGGCCAACAUGGUGAAACCCUGUCUUUACUAAAAAUACAAAAAUUAGCCUGGCGUGGUGAUGCAUGCCUGUAGUCCCAGGUACCUGCGAGGCUGAGGCAGGAGAAUCGCUUGAACCUGGAAGGUGGAGAUUGCAGUGAGCCAAGAUGGCACCACUGCACUCCAGCCUGGGUGACAGAGCAAGACUCUGUCUCAAAAAAAUUAAAGAAAAUAGAAAUAAAACAUAUAGCCUCACCCUCUUCAUUUGACAGAUGUGGGCUUUGAGGCUGAUAGAGAGGUAACUUGUCCAUGAUUAGACAGCAAGAAAUAGAGCUGCAGUUGGUACCAGGGCCUCAUAACACUGGGUCUAUAAUCACAAUGAAGCACCACCAGUGUCAAUGCAUGUAAAUUUCACACCCCUUAUCACACUGCAUCUACAAAGUAGUGCUGAGAACUGGGCAUGGCAGGCAUUAGUCUCUCCACGAGGAAACAGGCUCAGAGACUCUGAAGAUCCGUCCAAAUGCAUAGAGUGGGGAAGCAGUGAAAAGACGACGUUAGGACAUCCCAGCCCUGCCCACGUUCAGAGUUUGUUCCAACACAUUAGUCUUCAGAUGAGCUCACUAUUUUAGUCCUGCGUGCUCCAGCAAUGGCCUGAGAGGUGUGGGUACGUGCUGAAUGUCCAGGCCUUGUUAAAGAUAACUGCAGUACGGGCCAGGCGUGGUGGCUCGCGCCUGUAAUCCCAGCACUUUGGGAGGCCGAGGAGGAUGGAUCACGAGGUCAGGAGUU